ACUCUGGGAUAGAGCCAGGCACAGGAAGAGAUUUGCCUACAACUCUGAGGAGACGAAUUGGAUGCAUGAAACUGAGGAAAGCCUGGAGAGCAUCAAGGCUGGGUGGCUCAAUGGCCUGCACCCUGGAAGCUGCUCUGGUGCAUGGAGAGCUGGUCCUAUGGCUUUCCUUGGGAGGCACUGCUUUGGGCAGCAACAUCAGAUUCUGAGGACUCACCACGGGGUCGGAAGUGGCAACAGGCAGCUUUGUGACUUGGCCAUGGGAAGUGCAGAGCACGCUUACGGUGCAUUGGCUGCUUCUCUAAGAUUUCCUCUUCCUUCAGUUGGGAAGAACAGCCCUGAACAUCGUGAGAACACCACAGCUCCUGCCUCUUCCUGGAACUCAUCUCCAGGAUGGUCUCUCUCAUUCCAGUCUCACCUAAGUCCUGCAGGAAUAUGUGUGUUACCAGGUUUAUGGCAGAGUAGCCAAGCCGGCUCUUGGUUCAUGACCUGUGAUCCGGAGGCAGGCACCACACUCACUGAAACUCGACUCUUUGUAUCUCAGGAAAGCAAGGGAGCCCUUUGGGCUAUGUGGGGAGCAACACAAUUGUUAAACAGAAGGUGUGAGCAGGUUCACAGAGGUGCAAUCUCAGCAGUUAGGAUGCAGGCUUACAGCAGGAAUGUGGAUAUCCAGAGAGGAACACUGAAGUGAGAAGGCCACCGAGGGCCAGCAUCCCCAUGAACUGCACCUGGGCCAUUACUGGCUGUGUCAGCCUCCUUCCCCGUCUCGAUGCUCUGAGUGGUCUGUUGCAGCCAUAACCUCUCGAGACAUGCUACUACAAACAUGGGGCGUCUUCAGCACCAGCUCCUGGUACUGACUCUCCCUCACCACAGCGCUGUGAUUCUGGAACCCUAUCCAUGACGGUGGGCGAUUCUGUAUUUAUCAAAUGAGUUGUUAGUCCAGGUUGCGGGUGCCAAGAGCUAGCGGUGGUAUUGAGGCCCGAUGAAACAUGUUAACCAACACAAUCAAAUUCCAAAUAACUAGACAAAUAAGACAAAGGGAUAAAAUGGUUACUUUAGAUAAAAUUCACAAACUGCCAUCCAAAGAUUCAAAAGAUGAUCCUAGCACUGGGCUGGUCAUGUUUAGCAACUGAUUUCCAAAAACAAAAGCAUAAAACCCCCAGUGUUCAGCGUUUGCCAGUCUCCUACUGAGGCUGGUUGCAAGCUAACAACUUGAUAUCAACUGGCUCACAAAAUUCCUGAAAAUGUAACAGUUGGCUCCCUUGCCCCAGUGAGUGCCAACUCCAGCAUGCACCAAGCCAUUAUGGAGUAUGCCUUGUGAGGUUCCAAGAGAUUAGCACAUUUCAAUUUAUCUUCAUCUUCACCAGAAUGCAAGCAGGAGGGUGGCUGGGAAGUGUGGAGCCGGGUUACGGUGGAGUCGGCCCGGCUCCUGUGGUAUCUGGCCUUGCUACCAGCCCUGAGUAACUAGGGGGCUAAGUGAUCCUCCAGCUUGACUUGGCAGAAAUAAAUCCCACAUAAGG
rnacentral:lncRNA from 1 species